UACGUAGGGGGCAAGCGUUGUCCGGAAUCAUUGGGCGUAAAGAGCGUGUAGGCGCCAGAAAAGUCCGCUGUGAAAACUCGAGGCUCAACUUCGAGCUGUCGGUGGAAACUUUCUGGCUAGAGUCCGGAAGAGGAGAAUGGAAUUCCUGGUGUAGCGGUGAAAGUGCGCAGAUAUCAGGAGGAACACCGGUGGCGAAGGCGGGUCUCUGGGCCGAUACUGACGCUGAGGAGCGAAAGCGUGGGGAGCGA
rnacentral:rRNA from 1 species